UGGGGAAUCUUGCGCAAUGGGCGAAAGCCUGACGCAGCCAUGCCGCGUGGAUGAUGAAGGUCUUAGGAUUGUAAAAUCCUUUCACCGGUGAAGAUAAUGACUGUAGCCGGAGAAGAAGCCCCGGCUAACUUCGUGCCAGCAGCCGCGGUAAUACGAAGGGGGCUAGCGUUGCUCGGAAUUACUGGGCGUAAAGGGAGCGUAGGCGGACAUUUAAGUCAGGGGUGAAAUCCCAGAGCUCAACUCUGGAACUGCCUUUGAUACUGGGUGUCUUGAGUGUGAUAGAGGUAUGUGGAACUCCGAGUGUAGAGGUGAAAUUCGUAGAUAUUCGGAAGAACACCAGUGGCGAAGGCGACAUACUGGAUCAUUACUGACGCUGAGGCUCGAAAGCGUGGGGAGCAAACAGGAUUAGAUACCCUGGUAGUCCCUGAGCGGGCUGGCAAGGCGCAU
rnacentral:rRNA from 1 species